AAAUUGAAGAGUUUGAUCAUGGCUCAGAUUGAACGCUGGCGGCAGGCCUAACACAUGCAAGUCGAACGGUAACAGGAAGCAGCUUGCUGCUUYGCUGACGAGUGGCGGACGGGUGAGUAAUGUCUGGGAAACUGCCUGAUGGAGGGGGAUAACUACUGGAAACGGUGGCUAAUACCGCAUAACGUCGCAAGACCAAAGAGGGGGACCUUCGGGCCUCUUGCCAUCAGAUGUGCCCAGAUGGGAUUAGCUWGUUGGUGAGGUAACGGCUCACCAAGGCGACGAUCCCUAGCUGGUCUGAGAGGAUGACCAGCCACACUGGAACUGAGACACGGUCCAGACUC
rnacentral:rRNA from 1 species